CUUGUUUCUGACAUGGAUGAUUUAAUGUUUAAAGUAUUCAUAUGAUUUUAGGAUAAUAACGUUGAUAUAGAUAUCUUCAUUGGAAUAAGAAAUUAGGAUGAAACAAACUUGAAAUAUGAGCAACUACUGCCAGUUAUCAAUGAAGUCAAAAGUUUGUCUUAUGGAUUAAUACAGUAGAAGAAAUUUAGCUAUAAUUAAACAUGAACAAUUCAACAGUUGGUACAGAUGACGAAGAUAGUCUUCCGA